UAAGCAGGAUUUUACUACAAUAUGGCUGCUCAGUGCUGUGUUGUCGUUCCCCCUGCUCAGAACAAUUGUUUCUUAACUAUACCUGUCUGCUGUCUACCUGUAGCAGCCAGGGACGCUUGGUCUCAUACAUGAU
rnacentral:snoRNA from 1 species